AACGAACGCUGGCGGCAUGCCUAACACAUGCAAGUCGAACGAGACCUUCGGGUCUAGUGGCGCCCGGGUGCGUAACGCGUGGGAACCUGCCCUUAGGUUCGGAAUAACUCCCCGAAAGGGGUGCUAAUACCGGAUAAUGUCUUCGGACCAAAGAUUUAUCGCCUUUGGAUGGGCCCGCGUUGGAUUCGCUAGUUGGUAGGGUAAAAGCCUAUCAAGGCGCCGAUCCAUAGCUGGUCUGAGAGGAUGAUCAGCCACACUGGGACUGAGACACGGCCCAGACUCCUACGGGAGGCAGCAGUGGGGAAUAUUGGACAAUGGGCGAAAGCCUGAUGCAGCAAUGCCGCGUGAGUUAUGAAGGCAGGAGGGUUGUAAAGCUCUUUUACCCGGGAUGAUAAUGACAGUACCGGGAGAAUAAGCUCCGGCUAACUCCGUG
rnacentral:rRNA from 1 species